AGUCACUAAAGAAAAUUGUGAAAUUAAUUUGUUUUAUAGUAGUUUAAAUAGUUUUAUCCUCAUUAUUUAUCUUCUGUAUUUUACUAUACCUAUUGUAUUUUUGUUUAUUGUGCUACAUACCAAGUUAAAACAUUUAUUUUAUUAUUUUUAUUUUUAUUUUAUUUAUUUGUAAGUGAGUCAUACAUUCACGGCACGUCCAUAAUGGUACUGAAAUUACAGUUAGUCAUUUAUAUUUAUUGUUGUUUUACGCUAAAUUAAAAUAAAUGCCUGUUUCUUAUGUUAUUUUAGUUAUAAUUUACACUUUAAACACCAUCAGACCUAUGUUUACAUAGUUAAUAACAAAUGCGAACACAUUGGUAGUUUUGCUCAAACUGUACGCAACCAAGAUUUUAUUUUUCGCUAAGAUAUAAAAGAAAUUUAUAGAAACGUGAUAGUGGCGCUAGUGUGCAGCUGCUAAAACACAUUAAUUGUGAAAUUUUGUUAUUCGUUCGCUCCCAGAUUAGCUUGGAAGCACAUUAAAUAUAAUCAAAUUUGGUAUAGUUAUUAUAAAAAAUACAGAAUAAUAGUAGAUAAGCAACCGUGAAGCAAUAAUUUUAAAGAAAUAAAUUGUAAAUUUGUAAUUUCCGUCAUUAGGUAUUCAGUCGUUCGAGGGUUUAGGUUAAUUCUAGUUUUUUAAACACAACAGAAUAUGAUAACAAAUGCAAUGCUGGUGUUAUGGCUGGCCGCCACCGUGCCAUGUUUUUCUCAAAUAUCUUCUUACGCGGGACUGCCACCAGGACCUGCCGGAUUUUUGGAAAAGGACCGUUCAGUACCACCACUGGUUGAAAUUUCACCGCAAUCUUUUAACGAACUAACAAAACAACAGUACGAAGAACUAAGAGAUCAACUAAAAUCCCCGGAACAGACACCAAGCAGCUACAGUGAUUUAUACAGGAUGUUUACCAAAGUUGAGCCUCUUCAAAGCACAUUAUAUGAAUUAUACAAAAAUUUAAAGAAAUAUUUUGUUAAAUAAGAACAUAUUUUGUGGGAGAGCAAAAACAUAUUUGUCAGUUUUUGCUAUAGAUAUUUUUGGAUACCUAACCAUAUCUACCUACUAAUAAAAAUCACUCGAAAUUGUAUGUAUAAGAAAAACCAAAAAUAUAAAAUGUAUUUUUUUAA